rnacentral:rRNA from 1 species
AGAGUUUGAUCCUGGCUCAGGACGAACGCUGGCGGCACGCUUAACACAUGCAAGUCGAACGAGAGAAGAGGAGCUUGCUUUUCUGAUCUAGUGGCGGACGGGUGAGUAACACGUGAGCAAUCUGCCUUUCAGAGGGGGAUACCGAUUGGAAACGAUCGUUAAUACCGCAUAACAUAAUUGAACCGCAUGAUUUGAUUAUCAAAGAUUUAUCGCUGAAAGAUGAGCUCGCGUCUGAUUAGCUAGUUGGUAAGGUAACGGCUUACCAAGGCGACGAUCAGUAGCCGGACUGAGAGGUUGAUCGGCCACAUUGGGACUGAGACACGGCCCAGACUCCUACGGGAGGCAGCAGUGGGGAAUAUUGCACAAUGGAGGAAACUCUGAUGCAGCGAUGCCGCGUGAGGGAAGAAGGUUUUAGGAUUGUAAACCUCUGUCUUCAGGGACGAAAAAAGACGGUACCUGAGGAGGAAGCUCCGGCUAACUACGUGCCAGCAGCCGCGGUAAUACGUAGGGAGCGAGCGUUGUCCGGAAUUACUGGGUGUAAAGGGAGCGUAGGCGGGAUCGCAAGUCAGAUGUGAAAACUAUGGGCUUAACCCAUAAACUGCAUUUGAAACUGUGGUUCUUGAGUGAAGUAGAGGUAAGCGGGAUUCCUAGUGUAGCGGUGAAAUGCGUAGAUAUUAGGAGGAACAUCAGUGGCGAAGGCGGCUUACUGGGCUUUAACUGACGCUGAGGCUCGAAAGCGUGGGGAGCAAACAGGAUUAGAUACCCUGGUAGUCCACGCCGUAAACGAUGAUUACUAGGUGUGGGGGGACUGACCCCUUCCGUGCCGCAGCAAACGCAAUAAGUAAUCCACCUGGGGAGUACGACCGCAAGGUUGAAACUCAAAGGAAUUGACGGGGGCCCGCACAAGCAGUGGAGUAUGUGGAUUAAUUCGAAGCAACGCGAAGAACCUUACCAGGUCUUGACAUCGUAUGCAUAGCUCAGAGAUGAGUGAAAUCUCUUCGGAGACAUAUAGACAGGUGGUGCAUGGUUGUCGUCAGCUCGUGUCGUGAGAUGUUGGGUUAAGUCCCGCAACGAGCGCAACCCUUACUGUUAGUUGCUACGCAAGAGCACUCUAGCAGGACUGCCGUUGACAAAACGGAGGAAGGUGGGGAUGACGUCAAAUCAUCAUGCCCCUUAUGACCUGGGCCUCACACGUACUACAAUGGCUGUCAACAGAGGGAAGCAAAGCCGCGAGGUGGAGCGAACCCCUAAAAGCAGUCUUAGUUCGGAUUGUAGGCUGCAACCCGCCUACAUGAAGUCGGAAUUGCUAGUAAUCGCAGAUCAGCAUGCUGCGGUGAAUACGUUCCCGGGCCUUGUACACACCGCCCGUCACGCCAUGGGAGUCGGUAACACCCGAAGCCUGUAGUCUAACCGCAAGGAGGACGCAGUCGAAGGUGGGAUUGAUGACUGGGGUGAAGUCGUAACAAGGUA